rnacentral:rRNA from 1 species
UACGUAGGGUGCAAGCGUUAAUCGGAAUUACUGGGCGUAAAGCGUGCGCAGGCGGCUUUGCAAGACAGAUGUGAAAUCCCCGGGCUCAACCUGGGAACUGCAUUUGUGACUGCAUGGCUGGAGUGCGGCAGAGGGGGAUGGAAUUCCGCGUGUAGCAGUGAAAUGCGUAGAGAUGCGGAGGAACACCGAUGGCGAAGGCAGCCCCCUGGGCCAAUACUGACGCUCAGGCACGAAAGCGUGGGGAGCAAACAGG